GACGAACGCUGGCGGCGUGCUUAACACAUGCAAGUCGAACGGAAAGGCCCUGCUUUUGUGGGGUGCUCGAGUGGCGAACGGGUGAGUAACACGUGAGUAACCUGCCCUUGACUUUGGGAUAACUUCAGGAAACUGGGGCUAAUACCGGAUAGGAGCUCCUGCUGCAUGGUGGGGGUUGGAAAGUUUCGGCGGUUGGGGAUGGACUCGCGGCUUAUCAGCUUGUUGGUGGGGUAGUGGCUUACCAAGGCUUUGACGGGUAGCCGGCCUGAGAGGGUGACCGGCCACAUUGGGACUGAGAUACGGCCCAGACGCCUACGGGAGGCAGCAGUGGGGAAUAUUGCACAAUGGGCGGAAGCCUGAUACAGCAACGCCGCGUGCGGGAUGACGGCCUUCGGGUUGUAAACCGCUUUCGCCUGUGACGAAGCGUGAGUGACGGUAAUGGAUAAAGAAGCACCGGCUAACUACGUG
rnacentral:rRNA from 1 species